GAGUUUGAUCCUGGCUCAGAUUGAACGCUGGCGGCAGGCCUAACACAUGCAAGUCGAGCGCGAAAACACUUCGGUGUGAGUAAAGCGGCGGACGGGUGAGUAACGCGUAGGAAUCUACCUAGUAGUGGGGGACAACUCGGGGAAACUCGAGCUAAUACCGCAUACGCCCUACGGGGGAAAGCGGGGGACCUUCGGGCCUCGUGCUAUUAGAUGAGCCUGCGUUGGAUUAGCUAGUUGGUGGGGUAAAGGCCUACCAAGGCGACGAUCCAUAGCUGGUCUGAGAGGAUGAUCAGCCACACCGGGACUGAGACACGGCCCGGACUCCUACGGGAGGCAGCAGUGGGGAAUAUUGCGCAAUGGGCGAAAGCCUGACGCAGCCAUGCCGCGUGUGUGAAGAAGGCCUUCGGGUUGUAAAGCACUUU
rnacentral:rRNA from 1 species